CGCGGCGUGGGGACGGGGACGAGGAGAUGCGCCUGCGCAGGACGUAGUCCUUCGGGUAAGGGCGGGAGCGUUAAGCUCCGCGCCAGCGGGCUGGAAGUCGUUCCCGAAAAUGGGAGGUCUGUGGCUUUCGGGCACUCCGGAGAGGAACUUCCCUGGAGGCGCAGUGGUUAAGAAUCGGCCUGCCAAUGCAUGGGACAUGCGUUCGAGCCCUGGUCCAGGAAGAUCCCACAUGCUGCGGAGCAACUAAGCCUGUGCGCCACAACUACUGAGCCUGCGCUCUAGAGCCUGUGAGCCACAACUACCAUGCCCGCGAGCCACAGCUACUGAAGCCCGCGCACCUAGAGCCCAUGCUCCGCAACAAGAGAAGCCACCACAAUGAGAAGCCCACGCACCGCAACGAAGAGUAGCCCCCGCUCAAUGCAACUAGAGAAAGCCAGCAUGCAGCAACGAAGACCCAACACAACCAAAAAUAAAUAAAUAAAUAAAAUUGAAAAUAAUAGUAAUAAAACUUCUUUAUACAAUGGAAUACUACUCAGCCAUAAAAAAGAAUGAAAUAAUGCCAUUUGCAGCAACAUGGAUGGACCGAGAGAUUAUCAUACUAAGUGAAGGAAGUCAGAAAGAAAGCCAAAUACCAUAAGAUAUCACUUAUAUGUGGAAUCUAAAAUAUUACAUAAAUGAACUUAUCCACAAAGUAGAAACAGACUCACAGACAUAGAGAACAGAUUUGUGGUUGCCAAGGGGGAGGGUGUAUGGGGGAGGGAUGGAAUUAGCAGAUGCAAACUAUUAUAUAUAGAAUGGAUGAACAACAAGGUCUGUAUAGCACAGGGAACUAUAUUCAAUAUCCUGUAAUAAAACAUAAUGGAAAAGAAUUUUUUUUAAAUAAAUUUAUUUAUUAAUUUU